GGUGUUACUUGUUGUCUCCUUUCCAAGAUUGGGGUAUGGGGAUUUUUGUCAUAGGCCCUUGGGCCUCCACACUUACCCACUCUCUCACUCCUCUCCUUUUCCUGUGCCCUGGAUUAGGAAAGCUCUUGUCUUGACUUCAUCUGGGCCAUGAUGAGGAAAGCCACCUUUCUGUUUUGAAUAAUUAUAUUCUGAGAACUUCAUCAGAGGCAGCAAAAUAAUUUGCAAAUCUGAGGAGCCUUGUGUACUCUCUGUUACCUUGAGGCCAUAGUACUUCAGCUCAUAUUUUCUGAAGCUUUGCUGCUGGCAGAAGGAACUGUGUGAGGAAGACAGAACAACCAGAAAAUUACAACUUCCAAGAGACACUGUACAAAGACACUGUUUUCUCCUUUUCACUGUGGUGGAGCAAAACAUCGUGUGUUGCACAGUGACAUCUCCUGCUCUGCCCUGCUCUGCAAAACUCUCUACUCUGUCCAGCUGGGGCCCAAAGAAA
rnacentral:lncRNA from 1 species